rnacentral:lncRNA from 1 species
ACAGCUGUGGCUGAGGCCAACGGAUGGCAACGGUGCCACCAGGCUCUCUGGGAGCAAUCCGCUUGGCUGUCUCCAGCCUCAGGAAGGACUUUUAAACUCGAUGAAAAUAACCUAAGAGGCCACGUUUUGAUGGUAACUGUAAGUGCCCUAGAAAUGGGAAGUACCCAGCAGGGAGAAUAGAGUAGAAUUUAGGAGCCAAGAUUUUGAAAUGAGAUGGACUGGAUUCAUAUCCAACCUCUACUGCAUUCUAGAUUUGUUACUUUGGGCUAUGUUUUUUUUUUUUAACCUCACUAAGCCUCAGUUGCCUAAUAGGUGAAAUGGGGAAAAUGUCUAGCUUAUGUUUAUUGUGAGGAUUGACUGAGAUAAAAUGCUAAAGCAUUCUGCACGGUGUGUGGCGCAUUUGAGGUUCAAUAAAUUUUAGUGUUUAUUAUUAUUAGUAUUGCAGGAGGUAGGAAGAUCUAUGGCUUCUCUCUGGGAACCCACAUCUUUCUUCAGCCAAAACAAGCAGCCUGUCUCCUUGUCUGGGUGAUGAGAAUGAUGAUCCUACCUACAUCACCAAGAUUUCAUGAGAAUCAAGUAUAAAGCACUUAGGACAGUGCCUAGCUCUUAGCAAACAUGGUACUAUUAGCUUUCAUUAUUUUUAUUAUUGCUGCUUUUCUUUUCUGAGGUCCAUGGACAUUGACCUAGGAUGUUUCCACAGAAUUUCCUUGUGUUGAUUGUGGAUCUGAAAUUAUGUGGGGGCUUCCAAAGCAGAGGAAAUAGCAACAGCUGUUUCUAGUUAGUUUGAUAUUUGAAAUACUUUAUUCUCAAAUUAAUUCCUCAGAUGGAACAAAAAGAACUUGCUGCAAUAACAGAACUGAGUGCAUUUUGCCACGUGACUCUAUUUUCAUGUAUUGAUCCUUUGGAGUUGGAACUGUUCCUUUCUUGUCCCCUGCAUUUGGGCUGUUGCUUCAUCAUGGGCAGCAGCUCACAGUCACCUGCUACAAGAGUGUGUUCUUGAAACAUGGAUGUUUUUGAGCUUGAGAGGGUUUGCCGGCUGAACAAUUCCAACAAUAGGUUUUAAUGUCUUAAGUGGUUCCUUUUUUUGUUGGCCAGCAUUUGAAUAUUGUAUAACAUUAAUGAAGAGACAAGCUUGUAUUCAAAGGAAAUGAAAAUAUCAGAAAACUCCAACCUGAGAAAUGAAUACCCUUGGAAUGCGUGAUCAGGCCAUUUCUCAUUAAUUAGUAGGUUUGUACUCUACACGCUCCAUGAAAUGUUCCUUUUCUACAAAGGCAGGUGUUUGUCUAUGUUCAGUCUUUUCAUGCUUUGCUUAAAUAUGGUUUCUGGAUUGUGUUUCAUGUCCCUGAAGCAUGCAGUCCAGAGGGAAGGAGCCAGAACUCUGUUUCUCAGCCUGGCAUGAAGGGAAAUGCUUUAGUUUAUUUUAAACAUUAACCACCCAAUGGUACAGCAAUUUUUUUCUGUAUUUUAGCAAUUUGUUUUCUAAUACCUUCUUGAGAAUUUGGACAAUUAUUUUUCCUCUUUUCUCCCUGGAUUUACAUUGAGAGUCAGAAUAACUUUGCAGAGCUGAAGAAAACAUACUGCUGGUAAAAGAUGCAGGAUCAAUGUCUACAGGGCCAGGACCCUGAAGAAGCCAAUUAGAAAUACAGCCAUAUUGGUAAUGACUCCUUCUUUGGCGCUUAAGGACAGAUUCUCUGGGUGCAUCUUAGUCCCUAGGGAUAAGGCCAAGUCAAAGGCAGAAUAGAAUUUGUAACAAAUUCUUGGGAAUAUCCACUUCCAAAGUUGUUGUGUGAAAUGUGGCAAUACUACUUCUCAUGACAUGCAAGUGGUUGAAUGAGACAAGCUCAGAAAGUGUGAGACUGGUUCUAAGGCAGGUAGAGAAAAGUAGAGAGGAGGGUGUAGGAUGCCAGUGGUGAAGCAUAAGGUGGAGAAAUCUUUGUGAGAGCCGGGUCCAGGGAAGGGAAUCCCAGAAACCCAGAAGGAAUGUGUCGAAAUUUGGACCUUCUAUAAAGGUGAGUCUAUCUCUUCAUUUCAUGCACCCCCGAGUCUCAUGUGUCACACAGAGAUUGUGUAAAUAGUAUUGUAAUGGAAAGAUAAAACUCAAAAGGAGACAUAUGGACAAGGGGCUUGAAAAGGACAAGCUCUUCUACUGAGGAAGUCGAUCCUCAAAAAUUUAUUGUAGAUGGCCAAGGCCAGUGGGAACUUUGUACAAUAACCUGGCUUAACCCUUUGCUUUGGAUCCAGUCUCCUUUUGAUCCCUUACAGGGGAGAGCUGAUCUUAUCUUUUACAUCUCCAAAGGUGACACCUUGUAAAUGUCUUCCCAAGUCUCAUGGUCAGGGAGUUCUUCUUAUAGUCUAAACAAUAUUUCUCUUGCUUAAGUUUAUACCCUUCUUGAACUGCCCUCAUUCUUUCCUCCUGGAUCUCUUUAUCUUCUCUUUUGUAAGGCCAGUACUAAUUACUUUAGUUCUUUUCCAAGGAGAUGAUUUCUCCCAAACCUUGUGUCAUUUUUUGAGUAUGUCUUUAUACCCAUAUAGGUAUUUUUGUGGCUAGAAGGAGAGUCCUUCUGGGAUGGUAUUUUUACCCCCGGGUGGAUCUGUGCUGUGAAUAACCUGAGCCAUUCUGGAACCAUCCCCAGACCGGGCAGGUGGCAGCCCCAUUUGCUCUUUCCUGAGCGCCAAGGCAGAGAAGCAACUCUGGCUCUUUCUCUCUGGACCGCGUGCCUCCGGAACACGAAACUCAGUCACAGACACCAUAUUUAAACAGAGCAGGGAAAGGACGAAAAUAGACAAAAAACCUGUCCAUGUGGGCCAGGAAAGCUGCAUUUCCAAUAUGCUGUUAGCAAGACCCUGCUGCGAUUCACAUAGCAAGUAGUCAGGGUAGAACCUGGACGGUGAGCAGAAUGGCCACCCAUGGGCAUCCCUGGGCACUGGCGUGCCAAGCAUGUGCAAGGGGCAAGAUCUGGAGCAGGGAGGAGGAAGACAAGGCCCUUCCCUAACACAUGAGGAAGUACAACUUAAACAACUGAAACUGUUAGAAAGAACACAAGAGCCAUAGAAUUGGGGCUGGGCUUGAUGGUGGAGAGCAGUGGUUUUUAGACCUUUUAAGAGAGGAAUUUUUCAGAAAAAAUUUUGGAAGCUCAAUAUGUAAAACAAAUGUCAAAAAAUGACUGAUGGGCCCUGUGGUCAUUAGUUGUGUCUGAGGCUUAAGGCUGAGGACAAAAUGCAUUCAGGACACUCACUUCUCUACAGGGCUUCCGGGUUGGUGUCAGCUCAGAGAACCAGCCUAACCACCCCACCUCCUCCAUGUAAGGACCAGUAGAUCAGAGACAGCUGUGGGGAAGGGUAGUGUGCAUGAAGUCCCCAUGUCAAUCUCUGAGAAGUACAGAAGACAGAUCCUGCCUUUGCCUGUAGGUCUUCCUGCAGUCCACGGACAGUUGAUGACAGCGGAGGCACUGACUUCCAGACACUACUGCAGCUAAGGAAUGUGGUUGACGUUAGUCAGAAAAUACGCUCCAAAUUACCUGGCUGUAGCCCCCAGGGAAGCUGUUUGGGGGUCAUGACCUGUCAACAGGGCAGGUUGAUGCUCCCACCUGAUAUUAGUGAGCCUAGGGACGAUUAGUUAGAAUAACAGUUGUGAACAGUAAGAAGACUAUGGUAAGGUCUUCAGCCACAUAGGAAUCUGGCUAUCCUUUUCCUCCUUUACUUCCUCACAUGGGAGGCGGUGGCACCUAGAAGAGGAUGGGGAAGAACAAGGGUGAGGCAGGCUUCUAAACGCUGGGUUAGAUCUCCUUUUCUCUGCUCUAUACUAUUGAAGGUGAACUCCAGCCUAGACCUGGAAGAAAAAGAAGAAAGAGGAUCAAAUUAGAUGUGAGAAUAAAGUUGUGAAUGGAGCAAAUACAAUCCCUGGGGAAGUGGGUGAGAACGCAUAUGGAUCUAGACAGAGAAGGUAGCCUUAGGGGUGGAAGUUUCUCGACCUGGGGAGGAAAAGAGAAUGCCCAGAAUUCUUCCCCCAUGUCCCCAGGUAGGCCUAAGCCUGACACUAACUUCACAUGAAUCAACUUGGAUUUGCCCCAAUAAAAGUAACUGAAGGCAGGCUGAAGGCUGCCACUUGCAUUUAAGGAACAAACUCCUGGACUGGCAGGAAGCUCUGGUUUCCCGUUUAAUUGUGGUCAGGAUUUCAAGCUUAUUUUUAAAUUGAGUAGGGGUCAAUUCCAAUUCACUUUAAUUCAAUUCCAAGUCCAAAUUCAACACAUUUCUUGCAUACCUACUAGCUAGUUGGUCCUGUCUUAGGGUUGUUUAUCAAGAAUGUGAGAGGAGAACAGGAUAAGACAGGCCACGUCUGCUCUUAGUGACAUGUCUUGGUUGAUAUUAUUAUCCUCACUCAUCUCUGUCUUGCCUACCCCUAGUCAGGACCACAUACAUAUUCCACUCCUCUAAGAAACCCAUCCGCACUGCAAGCCAUGGGACUCCACCCUUUCCCAAGCUUCCUAAUGAUCUGUGUCACUCAGUUCAGCCCCUCAUUGUGGUCUAGUUUAUCUCAUCCAAUAAUCAUAUGGAAAUCAGCUCAAGAACAAUAUAGGCAUGCUGUCAAGUGUAGAUAUGCCAUGUCUUGUGGUUAAAGUCUUAGACUCUUGGUGAGCUCUGCUUUUAGAGCACUCUGAAGGGUUUCUAAUAUCACAGACCUCCUUUAUUGUAGCUGUGGUCUUUUGCAGUCUUGGCUUUGAGAAAUGUUGUUGCCCACAUAGGAUUAGCCACACCAGGGGCAGCAGGCAAUGCUCUAGUCCAAGCCUGACUUGAAACUCAAGAAGCAAGUUUCUGUACAAGAGGAAAUGAAAAUUUCCAAUCUCUUAAGACCGGGUCCUGGAAAACUGGCACAGUGUCACUUCUGCUGUAUUCUACUGCUCACCACAGGUCCACCACAGAUUCCACCAACUUCAAGGGGAGGGGAACUAGAUUUUACCUGUCAAUGGGAGCAGUAGCAAAUACCAUCUUUACCUCACUUUGGUAAGAAUGAAGUCAUGUUCAGAAGCCCAGUAUAUAAAAUAUACAAGGUGAGAGACUUAGAGACUCCUUUUUUGGUCUCCUCUUUUAACCCACACUCUCUUCAUCGAAAGCCUUUAGAAUUCUAAUUUGAAUUUGAAAGCUAUAGUAACUGCGGUUUGUUGUGUGAGAAUAACAGAGAAAAAGCGUCCUAUAUAUUUAAUGGUAAUUUUCUCCGGAUAUUGCCUCAACUAGGGACUUAUUCUACCCAGUUGACAUGACAUACGCUUUGGGUACUUGCUCUGGUCAUACUGAACGCAAGAUCUUAGCACAGGCUGUGGGGCGCCUAAAAGCUGCCCUGACCGCAUGCCAAAGAAUCUCCACAUGGGGCUCAAGCAGAGAGGAAAGUCAGCUCUACCUAUUAUCUGUCCUUUAACCAUACCAGGAGGGUUGCAACUCCCUUCAGAGCCUAGGGCAGAAGACUUUAUCGACAGAGCCCUGCCCUUUUUUGUUUGAGAGUAUGAGCAGGUGUUAUCUGAGAACAAGCAGGUGUUUGUAGAAAUGUGACCUUGAGCCCUGGUUACAGACCUGCUCUUUUGUUCUGGUGACUCAUUUUUCCUUGAAUGGAGUUGGUUUCUAUUUAUGAAAUGGCUGUGAGGCCACAGUGACCAGCUUGGACACUACUGUUGUAUAUGUGAGUGCUUCCCCUCCCAAGAGCAGAUAAAUUACUGAGUGCAUUUGAUACCUGUCUGCCAGAGAUGUGGCCACCCCUUGUCACCCACAAGUUUGUCUACAAAGAGGGCAAGCAAAUAUAGCAUGCCUGUGUCACACUCGCUUUUUUAAAGAAGGUUAUGCCUAUGGGUAAACAGAAAGUGCCUUGUUCCAAAGACUCUUCUGUUCUCAGGCUGGAAAAAUAUAAUUUAGUCCAUCCUGGGAAGCUACUGGGCAAUGCUGAAAAUCUUUGGCUAAUAGGAAAUAAUUUAGAACAGAGAAUCACCUUGGGUAAGACAGUGAAUAUUUUACAACUGUACUGACUGUGGAAUUUAAGCCAGCAUUCUGCACUUCAUCUUAAUUCUCUCUACUAAUCACUGCGAGGAAGCAUGUAUAUGUGUAUGUAUGUACAUAUGUAUGUGUGUGUAUACUUCUGGGUCUCUGUGUAGAGCUAAUGGUUUAUUCUCCAGCGCCACCAAGUCCUAAGAGGUGUGAGUUUCAGGUUAAACCCAGAAAUAGGAAGUGUUUAUAUGUUUAGCAUAGACAUAGACAACAAACACAUGUCUAUGUAAACCCAACUUACAAAAUUAUAUGUUGGAUAAAUUUUCUAGAAAUGUCCCACUGAUGGUAAUGUCAUCACAAAACUCUAAAGUUGGGCAUCAAUCCAGUCCUGCAGGCUGUAUGCAACCACUAGAAAUAUGGCCUGUAACUCAAAAGCCACUGCAACUGCGGAUAGAAGAUCACAUCCAAUCAGAUGCCAAGUUUGUUUCAGAAUUUAAUACAGGGCUUUGCCUACCCAGGCCACAUGACGCUAUACCUCCUUCAGAGUGUCAGGAUUCAGAGGGGCAUUUUCCAAUGAUUACACCUGUGGUGACGGAAAAUGAACGGACACACUCAAGGUCUAGACAGCUGAUGAAAUCAUGGAGAGCAGGAUGGACUGGGUUGUUCUAUAAGCAUAUUAUAUGGCUUGGAGGUUUCUCAUGAGGUGUCCUUCUUCUUACAGUAUUCCCAAAAGCACAAAGAUGGGAGGGAUUUGUAUUUUGGUCAGUGGCAGAUAUAAAAAUAUUUAAAGGGAUUUCUUCAUAGUUAUGUAAGACAUGACAUAGUUUAUGGACGUGAUUUCUUUGAGGCUCUCCUGAGUUAUUCUUGUUCUUCAUGAAUCUAGUUUUGACUGAGAGUUGAUAUACCCUUUCACCAAUCCUCCUGGCAUCCUCUCCCAUGCUUCCCCUGCCUAAAAUGAUAGAAAAAAAAAACCCCUAGACUGUCUUUCUCAAAGGCAAUAGUCUACAGGAUGCUCCCCAUUAUGGCAGUGGUGUUUGAGAGAAGGGAUGCAAUGUUCAAUAGGAAGCAUGGGGUUUUCAAUAGAGUGCAGUGCUGAACAGAAAGGCCCCCUUUAGCAACCUCUUGAAGCAGAAUGAGCUCCUUUGAAAUAUAAAUGGCCCUGUAAAAACACAAGCAGAUUCUGCAAUAUCUAUUUAGGGCAUCCGGGAAUGCCACAUGAUAGGAACUUGAGCGCACCUGAUGGUAACCAUAUGGCAGGUUCUGAUGACUGACAAUAGGUAGAGGCUGCAGUAAUUAAUGAAAAUGAGAUUCUAUUUGUGGCCCCCACAAUGAGAGGAUGGAGAGGAAGCCAGUCUAUUUGCAAAGGCUGGGAUGUGCCCAGAGUGUGCUUCUAGCCUGGGACAGGCUGGGCCCAUGUUUCUGUGUGUGAACAGGUGUGAGAGAAAUGAUGCUGUGGGAGGGAGGGCUUGUUUCUGGCCAGAGAACCACCAUGCUUUUUGGGCCUGCAGUGGGAAAAUGAGCUUGUGUCACUGAACCCCUGUACCUUGCCAGGAUUUUUAGUUUGAUGUGGGAGAGAUUUCAGGUAGAAAUCCAGUUAAUUGGCCUGGUGGAAGUACAGACUCUAUUGUGUGAGGACUCGGGUGUGCUGUGUGCGAUUUUGACUUCUCUGGAUUUUAGGGUACAAUGCCUCCCUUUACCCUCUUGGAGAUGACUCCUUAAGGUGUGCUUUGCGUCAGAGUGUAGCAGAGUUUGGCUAGCCUCUGGCAAAAGAAAAGGAAAAAGGCAAUGCCUCAUUGUUUUAAUGUUUUUUUCUUAGAUGUGGGGGUGGGAUAGAGGAAGGGAGCUGGCCAGUGAGAAGUGGGCCAUGGGGAGAUUCCAGAGAGACUGAUUGAUCUUGUCAGAAAGAAUAAAGGUAUUCACUCCCCAGAACCCCCUUCAGCACAUGGGCAUGUGGGAUUGAGGCGGUCACUGUGAAGUCUUGCGGUUAGGCGUUCCAAAAAGAAGUUUCUCCAUGAUUCCUGAUUGCUUAGGACAGAUAUAAGCAAUACCAGCUGGGGCCCAGCAAGCCUGUCUCCAGCUUUAUUGUUUCUGAUUUAUCAGUGGUGUGUGCGCCUAAAAGAACUGAUCUAACUGCCCUUUAUUGCUAGCCUAUUCCGUAGCCAGAUAGGAGAGUUGAACAUUAACAAGUGGAUUUGCUUUCAGUAGCUGCCUCUGUGUGUGUGUGUAUGUGUGUGUGUGUGUGCGUGUAUUUAGCAAGAUAACAGUAUCUUGUUCAGGGACAAGUGACUCAAAUUUUUACAAGAACAUUCCCAUUCUUUUGUCUCCCAUCUUGAAUUUUCCCUAAUUUAUUUGAAGCUGCCUCUUUUACUACAGCCAGAGAGGAUCCAUAGGGCUGUUUUGUAAGAGUCCUUCGUAAGUGGUAGAAACUCAGCUGGAGCCAGGUUGGAGGCACCAGGCACUGUGCAUUGAAGAUAUAUUUCAAGUCAUCCCUGGUGGACAAUUUGCACUGUUCCGUGUUAAAAGGCUCUAUUGCAGUGGUUCGGAGAGCCCCCUAGACCUCCUGCCUUGGCAAGCAGAGUUUACAAAUGAUGUCUUCCACUCAGCCUGCCUGGAGUUUCUGGCUUAAAUGGCUGGCAGAGUGAGUGAAAGUGAAGAGUCAGAACUCUCAAGCUGUGUGAAGGGAAAGGUUUUACUACUGAGUGGAAAAUAAUCAUCGAGGUUAACUGUUCCUGGAUUGACCAAGCAGACAGAUGGACUGCUCUGACUCGGGCUGAGUGAUAAACUUCUGAGACUCCUCUGCAAGGGGAAGGGGCAGGUGGAAAUAGAGGAUGAGUGACUCAUGACUUUCCAAUCUGGAGUUUUGCCCAUUCAUUUCUUUCUUGGAGGAAACAAACUAUCCUGCUAAAAUGAUAAUGAUCCACUGGAGGACUUUGGUUUGGAGUCUAGCUCCUAUGGUUUGUGAGAUAUUGUUUCAUUUGGGUAGUUAUUUCCUUCUACACUUUCUUGAUCACAGGUUACAAUGAGGAAGGGCAGAGGAAGAAUGACAGAUGAACUCCCGAUUGCACAGAAACUGGCUCCUGUCAUGGGAAUUUAGUCUUGUCAAAUGUGAAUUCUAGUUCCCGUUCUGGGGAUACUAGAGAUCUGACCACCUCUCCUCUGUUGGAGAUAGAAAAACAGAUUCUCAUUUUAUUUUGGAUCUGGGAUACAUCAAGAUGGCAGAAGUGUUCAGCUGACAGACUCUCCCCCUACCACAUUUAAUGAACAGUCUCUAUUGUCUUGUGGAUGAAAAACAUCAGGGAGUAUUUGAAUAAUUUUACACAAUUCCUGAAGCCUGACCUAUGGCCAAGCGCAUUAGCUUUCUGAGUUUUAAAAAGUAUUUUCCCCUCCAGAAUUAAGGCAAAUCAUUCUUAUAUAGCAUUCUUAAGUGUGUAUGCUUUUUUUUUUAAAGAUAAAACCAAGCAUUUAAAAAAGCCCCAAACUAGUGAUAUUUUAUUAUCUUCUUAGAUUAUUUAAAAUUGUACUGGAGAAAAUGUGUACCCAAAUUUGGUUCAAUCAGAAAUGGGUGUGUGUCAAUGGGGAGAUCUUUCAAAUAUUUAAGCUAUAGAUUCUUUCAUGCCAAAAGGUGGAAGGACGCUGCCUUUAACAACUUUCUUGUUAGAGAGAGUUGAACAUUUGGUUUUAUCAGACAGUGGCAUGGUAAUGAAGCUAUUUUGAUAGAAAUAGCCUCAUCACUAUUCAUUUUUGCUGGCUCCCAACUAAUUCUUGAACCAAGGUUCUAUUUUUUUCCCCCAGAGGAAAACAGGCACAACAAGCAAAAUAAGAUGCUUUUAGCCUCUGAAGCUAAUGAAAAAUUCAGACCACUUCUGCCCAAGGGGCCAUGGUAGAGCCUCCUGCCUCUGCCUGUGAUGACUCUCCACCUUGCCAGGCAGUGUGUGGGACUGGGUCUUCCUCCUCAUGGUCCUACCCUAAAAGACAGACCAUUUGAUUCAAGGGGCAGCGUUGUCUUCCAAAGCUAACAUUCAACUUCUAUUUGGAGGGUUCUCAUCCCUCCAUUCUUAGCAUGCUGCAACAGGGCACAGCUCGCACUGAGGUGGAAGAGACCCUGGCUUCAGUUCUAGUUCUUCUCCUCACUGUGUAACUUUGAGCAUAACACUGAGCCACUCUGGGCCUUGGUUUCCACAGAUGACAAAGGGUUUGUUUAGGUGGUCUCUAAAGAUUCCUUCUAGUUAUAACAUUCCAGACCAGGUAGUUUUUCAUUUUCUCCAUUUAAAAAUGAACUUUUCACUUUAGAAUAGCUUUACAAAUAUAGAAAUAUUGGAAAGACAGUAUAGAGCUUCCCAGUAUGUCCCUCACUCAGUUCUCCUAUGAAUGACAUCUUACAUUCUUAUGAUACAUAUGUCAUAAGGAACCAACAUUGAUACAUUACUAUUAUCAAAUAAAGUUUACCUUUUAUUCAGAUUUCAAUAGUUUUCCACAUUGUCCUUUAUCUGUUUCAGAGUCCUACCCGAGAUACCA